UUGAUGAGAUGCACCACCUACGGCUUCAUU
rnacentral:piRNA from 1 species